UACGUAGGGACCAAGCGUUGUUCGGAUUUACUGGGCGUAAAGGGCGCGUAGGCGGCGUGACAAGUCACUUGUGAAAUCUCCGGGCUUAACUCGGAACGGCCAAGUGAUACUGUCGUGCUAGAGUGCAGAAGGGGCAAUCGGAAUUCUUGGUGUAGCGGUGAAAUGCGUAGAUAUCAAGAGGAACACCUGAGGUGAAGACGGGUUGCCGGGCUGACACUGACGCUGAGGCGCGAAAGCUAGGGGAGCAAACGGG
rnacentral:rRNA from 1 species